UACGUAGGGUGCAAGCGUUGUCCGGAAUUAUUGGCGUAAAGAGCUCGUAGGCGGUUUGUCGCGUCGGCUGUGAAAACUCGGGGCUCAACUCCGAGCCUGCAGUCGAUACGGGCAGACUAGAGUGCGGUAGGGGAGACUGGAAUUCCUGGUGUAGCGGUGAAAUGCGCAGAUAUCAGGAGGAACACCGGUGGCGAAGGCGGGUCUCUGGGCCGUAACUGACGCUGAGGAGCGAAAGCGUGGGGAGCAAACAGG
rnacentral:rRNA from 1 species